CAGCCAUUCCACUGGAAGAUGCUGCACAGUAAUCACUUUGUGUUGCACCAGCUCAGUUGGAUUGUCCUGCUCAGCUCUUCAGGAAUUUUUGGAAGCAUUUUUUUGGUUUCAGAAACUCAUCUAAAGAAUUGCUUCAAACCACAACACAGUGGGGAUCUCAUGAACUUCAAGCCCAGUGAGAUUAUAAAUGCUUCCAGGAGUUGAUGUCGCUAACCACUGGCUUUAAUCUUGACCGUUUCUCACUUAUGCCACAGAAAGGAAUUGCCUGAGCUGUGCCUGUUUGGCUACCUCUGGGGAACGGCUGCGAGUUGGGGUUGUGACAGGAGUCAGCAGAGCUCUCCAUGAGCAAUGAGUGAACAGAAAGUUCAGCUCCUUGGAAAGACAUAUUUUAAGGGGAAUCUCAUUAAAAAGACUCUGAACAUACAAACAAAGUGGUAAUGUAUUCUUAAUGAGGCAAGGUGAUGUCUUGCUGUGUAAAUGUGCAAAGACCUGUAAAACUGCAGUUCUCCUUCCACUCAUUGAAGACAAUUGUAAGCGUUUGUCAAUGCGUCACUGUCCUGUUUAGUGGUGAGACUGGUGAGCUGCAUGGAAAGAUACCUCUGCCAAU